CGUGAGUGAAGAAGGCCCUUGGGUCGUAAAGCUCUGUCGACAGGGAAGAAAUUGGAUUAUAUUAAUAGUAUAUUCCAUUGACGGUACCUGUAGAGGAAGCACCGGCUAACUCCGUGCCAGCAGCCGCGGUAAUACGGGGGGUGCAAGCGUUAUUCGGAAUUAUUGGGCGUAAAGGGCGCGUAGGCGGUCUUGUCGGUCAGAUGUGAAAGCCCGGGGCUCAACCCUGGAAGUGCAUUUGAAACAGCAAGACUUGAGUACGGGAGAGGAAAGCGGAAUUCCUGGUGUAGAGGUGAAAUUCGUAGAUAUCAGGAGGAACACCAAUGGCGAAGGCAGCUUUCUGGACCGAUACUGACGCUGAGGCGCGAAGGCGUGGGUAGCGAACAGGAUUAGAUACCCUGGUAGUCCACGCAGUAAACGUUGUUCACUCGGUGUAGCGGGUAUUAAAAUCUGCUGUGCCCAAGCUAACGCAGUAAGUGAACCGCCUGGGGAGUACGGUCGCAAGACUAAAACUCAAAGAA
rnacentral:rRNA from 1 species